AUUGAACGCUGGCGGCAGGCCUGACACAUGCAAGUCGAGCGGGGUUUUCGGACCUAGCGGCGGACGGGUGAGUAAUGCGUAGGAAGCUGCCCGAUAGAGGGGGAUACCAGUUGGAAACGACUGUUAAUACCGCAUAAUGUCUACGGACCAAAGUGUGGGACCUUCGGGCCACAUGCUAUCGGAUGCGCCUACGUGGGAUUAGCUAGUUGGUGAGGUAAUGGCUCACCAAGGCGACGAUCUCUAGCUGGUUUGAGAGGAUGAUCAGCCACACUGGAACGGAGACACGGUCCAGACUCCUACGGGAGGCAGCAGUGGGGAAUAUUGGACAAUGGGCGCAAGCCUGAUCCAGCCAUGCCGCGUGUGUGAAGAAGGCCUUCGGGUUGUAAAGCACUUUCAGCGAGGAGGAAGGGUUGUGUGUUAAUAGCACAUAGCUUUGACGUUACUCGCAGAAGAAGCACCGGCUAACUCUGUGCCAGCAGCCGCCGUAAAAC
rnacentral:rRNA from 1 species